AGUGGGUUGCAAAUUUUACGCAGAAAGGCACACUGCCACCCGCCCGCCCUCCGCACCACAACUGCUGCUGCUGCUGCUGCUGCUGCUGCUGCUGCUGCUGCUGCUGCUGCUGCUGCUGCUGCUGCUGCUGCUGCUGCUGCUGCUGCUGCUGCUGCUGCUGCUGCUGCUGCUGCUGCUGCUGCUGCUGCUGCUUCUCCCCUGUUGCUGGUGCUUAUCCGCCAAAUGAGCAAAAUUAAUUU
rnacentral:sRNA from 1 species